rnacentral:rRNA from 1 species
UUACGGCCAUAUCACGUUGGAAGGCUGGUUCUCGUCUGAUCACCAAAGUUAAGCAACGUCGAGCCUGGUCAGUACCUAGAUGGGUGACCGCUUGGGAAUAAUGUGUG